UCUUACAAUAAGCUUUAUUACACCGAGAAUUUGAGGUUGAGAGAACAUAUCAGAACAAAAAAGAAGAAAAGGGACAUAAAUUAUAGAAUUGUCAGUCAUGAAAUUUUUCUACAUUUCAUUACUGGUGCUGAUUUUUCAAAAAUCAGUGAAAAUGAAAUAUUUGGAAGAAAGAAAUGAAGGAAAGAUAAAUUUAUCAUCGCAAAUAGCAGAAAAACAGAGUGUGAGUGAAAAUACCAUGUGGAGUUCUUUCCGGUGGAAGACCAUUUUAUUGCGAGGAGGAGGAGACUUGCUGUCACGAUCGCAAUGACAGAGGAAAGUUGGUUGCUUACUAUUGUUGCCCUGCGCUCAAUGGCGUAUGUUGCAAUAAUUUACGUGGUGUUUACUUUUCUCGAUAUGCAUAAGCCCUAGUGAGUGUAGGCUUGUUUGUAAGAUGAGCAAUAACCUAAAUGAAUAAAAGUCUUUCUUUUCCA